rnacentral:rRNA from 1 species
AGAGUUUGAUCAUGGCUCAGAACGAACGCUGGCGGCAGGCCUAACACAUGCAAGUCGAGCGAGAUCUUCGGAUCUAGCGGCGGACGGGUGAGUAACGCGUGGGAAUGUGCCCUUCUCUACGGAAUAGCCUCGGGAAACUGGGAGUAAUACCGUAUACGCCCUUUGGGGGAAAGAUUUAUCGGAGAAGGAUCAGCCCGCGUUGGAUUAGGUAGUUGGUGGGGUAAUGGCCUACCAAGCCGACGAUCCAUAGCUGGUUUGAGAGGAUGAUCAGCCACACUGGGACUGAGACACGGCCCAGACUCCUACGGGAGGCAGCA